AGAGUUUGAUCCUGGCUCAGGAUGAACGCUAGCUACAGGCUUAACACAUGCAAGUCGAGGGGCAGCAUGGGGGUUGCUCGCAACCCCUGAUGGCGACCGGCGCACGGGUGAGUAACGCGUAUCCGACCUUCCCGCGGCAGGGGCAUAACCCGGUGAAAGCCGGACUAAUUCCCCGUGGUCCCCACACAGGCCAUCCUUCGUGGGGUAUAGGACUCGUCCGGCCGCGGACGGGGAUGCGUCCGAUUAGCUAGUUGGCGGGGUAACGGCCCACCAAAGCACCGAUCGGUAGGGGUUCUGAGAGGAAGGCCCCCCACAUUGGGACUGAGACACGGCCCAAACUCCUACGGGAGGCAGCAGUGAGGAAUAUUGGUCAAUGGGCGCGAGCCUGAACCAGCCAAGUAGCGUGGAGGACGACGGCCCUACGGGUUGUAAACUCCUUUUGCGCGGGGAUAAAGUGCGCGACGUGCUCGCGCAUUGCAGGUACCGCGCGAACAAGGACCGGCCAAUUCCGUGCCAGCAGCCGCGGUAAUACGGAAGGUCCGGGUGUUAUCCGGAUUUAUUGGGUUUAAAGGGAGCGCAGACUGCCUGUCAAGCGUGCAGUGAAACGCCGCGGCCCAACCGCGGCCCUGCUGCGCGAACUGGCGGGCUUGAGUGGGCUGGAGGCACGCGGAAUUCGUGGUGUAGCGGUGAAAUGCUCAGAUAUCACGAGGAACCCCGAUUGCGAAGGCAGCGUGCCGCGUCCCGACUGACGUUGAGGCUCGAAGGUGCGGGUAUCGAACAGGAUUAGAUACCCUGGUAGUCCGCACGGUAAACGAUGGAUGCCCGCUCCCGGCGACACACUGCCGGGGGCCAAGCGAAAGCGUUAAGCAUCCCACCUGGGGAGUACGCCGGCAACGGUGAAACUCAAAGGAAUUGACGGGGGCCCGCACAAGCGGAGGAACAUGUG
rnacentral:rRNA from 1 species